UCCUGAUUAGCUCAGUUGGUAGAGCCCUACACUGGAAAUGGAGAGGCCCCUGGUUCGAUACCAGGACCAGGUG
rnacentral:tRNA from 2 species